rnacentral:ncRNA from 32 species
UAAUACUGCCUGGUAAUGAUGAU